UAUUUGUAAACUUUUCUAAAACAAUUAAUAAAAAUAUGGCGAAGAGUUUGAAUCAUUUAAUUAUCAACAUACUGGGUAAUGAAAAUGUGGGAAAGACUUGUCUCUGGAGAACCUACAUAAAAGAUAUAUUCAAAGAAGACUUUACUCCAACAAUUUGCCACCGUUAUGACUGCCUGAUAAAAGUUGAUGGAAAGGAAUACUGUUUGAGUUUGGUGGAUACUAAAGGUGCACAGGAAUAUGAGCGUUUAAGACGCAUAUUUUAUAGAAAUGCCAGUUGUUUUCUUUUGUGUUAUUCCAUCAACAAUCGCGAUACCUUUGAAGCUAUCACAAAUAGAUGGUGGCCCAAAAUUCGUAAAUAUACCAAAAAUACACCUGUUGUUCUAGUGGGCACUAGAUUGGAUCUGUGCCGAUCGAAUCCCGAAGAAUGCGUAACUAUAGAUGAAGCGGUUUUUUUAAAGGAACAACUAAAUGCCUAUUCAUUUGUUGAGUGCUCGGCCAAGGAACUGAAUAACCUACAGAAUGUUUUUGUAGAAGCCGUGCGGGCUGUUGAAACAAAAUCUAGAUUAAAGGAAAAGAAACAAAAUAAAAUAAUGAAAAGAAAAGAAAGAAAAGUGAUAUAAUAAAAAUAUAUAUUCUCCUUAAUUAAACAUUGAAUAUUAUAA